AACGAACGCCGGCGGCAGGCUUAACACAUGCAAGUCGAGCGCCCCGCAAGGGGAGCGGCAGACGGGUGAGUAACGCGUGGGAAUCUACCCAUCUCUACGGAAUAACUCAGGGAAACUUGUGCUAAUACCGUAUACGCCCUUUUGGGGAAAGAUUUAUCGGAGAUGGAUGAGCCCGCGUUGGAUUAGCUAGUUGGUGGGGUAAAGGCCUACCAAGGCGACGAUCCAUAGCUGGUCUGAGAGGAUGAUCAGCCACAUUGGGACUGAGACACGGCCCAAACUCCUACGGGAGGCAGCAGUGGGGAAUGUUGGACAAUGGGCGCAAGCCUGAUCCAGCCAUGCCGCGUGAGUGAUGAAGGCCCUAGGGUUGUAAAGCUCUUUCACCGGAGAAGAUAAUGACGGUAUCCGGAGAAGAAGCCCCGGCUAACUUCGUGCCAGCCGCCGCAGUAA
rnacentral:rRNA from 1 species